GACGAACGCUGGCGGCGUGCCUAAUACAUGCAAGUAGAACGCUGAAGGAGGAGCUUGCUUCUCUGGAUGAGUUGCGAACGGGUGAGUAACGCGUAGGUAACCUGCCUGGUAGCGGGGGAUAACUAUUGGAAACGAUAGCUAAUACCGCAUAAUAGCAGUUGUUGCAUGAUAACUGUUUGAAAGGUGCAAUUGCACCACUACCAGAUGGACCUGCGUUGUAUUAGCUAGUUGGUGGGGUAACGGCUCACCAAGGCGACGAUACAUAGCCGACCUGAGAGGGUGAUCGGCCACACUGGGACUGAGACACGGCCCAGACUCCUACGGGAGGCAGCAGUAGGGAAUCUUCGGCAAUGGACGGAAGUCUGACCGAGCAACGCCGCGUGAGUGAAGAAGGUUUUCGGAUCGUAAAGCUCUGUUGUAAGAGAAGAACGAGUGUGAGAGUGGAAAGUUCGCACUGUGACGGUAUCUUACCAGAAAGGGACGGCUAACUACGUG
rnacentral:rRNA from 1 species